rnacentral:lncRNA from 1 species
GGAUUGGUCAAGUAUGGUACAAACAUACUCAAUUUUUCAAAAACUACUAAAAUAAUAAGGUAGCGAAAAGUAUUCACAUCCAUAACGAGUGAAUAAGUUUCAUCAUAGUCAAUCCUGGGGCAUUACGCUUCCGAACGAAAACUCACUUGUAGCCAACGUGCUUCACAUGUGGAGGAGUAGGAGUUACAAGUCCAAACACCUUCAGUUGUGAUUUCAUAAGUUGUGAAUUCAAUUUGUUUAACUGCUUGAUUGAUAACUUAUUC